UCUACGGGAGGCAGCAGUGAGGAAUAUUGGUCAAUGGGCAGGAGCCUGAACCAGCCAAGCCGCGUGAGGGAAGAAGGUACAGCGUAUCGUAAGCCUCUUUUGUCAGGGAACAAAGGCGGGGACUAGUCCCCGGAUGAGGGUACCUGAAGAAAAAGCAUCGGCUAACUCCGUGCCAGCAGCCGCGGUAAUACGGAGGAUGCGAGCGUUACCCGGAUUUAUUGGGUUUAAAGGGUGCGUAGGCGGGAUGCCAAGUCAGCGGUCAAAUACGGGGGCUCAACCUGCGUCCGCCGUUGAAACUGGCGUUU
rnacentral:rRNA from 1 species